GUGCCAGCAGCCGCGGUAAUACGAAGGGGGCUAGCGUCGCUCGGAAUUACUGGGCGUAAAGGGCGCGUAGGCGGAUCGUUAAGUCAGAGGUGAAAUCCCAGGGCUCAACCCCCCGAACUGCCUUUGAUACUGGCGAUCUUGAGUAUGAGAGAGGUAUGUGGAACUCCGAGUGUAGAGGUGAAAUUCGUAGAUAUUCGGAAGAACACCAGUGGCGAAGGCGACAUACUGGCUCAUUACUGACGCUGAGGCGCGAAAGCGUGGGGAGCAAACAGGAUUAGAUACCCUGGUAGUCC
rnacentral:rRNA from 1 species